rnacentral:ncRNA from 1 species
CUGGCUCCGGUUCACGCCUCUCGCAGGGAGGGGCGACCCGGCGGCC